rnacentral:rRNA from 1 species
UCGAUGCGAGUUAGAGAGUUAGUUUACUAAUGAUUUAAGAUAGCAUGGCGGACGGGUGAGUAACGCGUAAAGAACUUGCCUUUCAGUCUGGGAUAACAGUUGGAAACGACUGAUAAAACUGGAUACGCUUAAUUGGUAGCAUUAUUAAUUAAGGAAAGAUAACUGAGAGAGAGCUUUGCGUCCUAUUAGCUAGUUGGUAGGGUAAAGGCCUACCAAGGCGAUGAUAGGUAGCCGGCCUGAGAGGGUGAACGGCCACAAGGGGACUGAGAUACGGCCCUUACUCUUACGGGAGGCAGCAGUGGGGAAUAUUGGACAAUGGAGGCAACUCUGAUCCAGCAAUUCUGUGUGCACGAAGACGGUUUUUGGAUUGUAAAGUGCUUUCAGUGGGGAAGAAGAAAGUGACGGUACCCACAGAAGAAGCGACGGCUAAAUACGUGCCAGCAGCCGCGGUAAUACGUAUGUCGCGAGCGUUAUCCGGAAUUAUUGGGCAUAAAGGGCAUCUAGGCGGAUAUGUAAGUCAGAGGUGAAAAUUAUGGGCUCAACCGAUAACUUGCCUUUGAAACUAUAUAUCUAGAGUGUUGGAGAGGUGGGCGGAACUACACAAGUAGAGGUGGAAUUCGUAGAUAUGUGUAGGA